rnacentral:pre_miRNA from 1 species
CUAGUACUCCCUUCGUCCGGAAAUACUCGUCGAAGAAAUGGAUGUAUCUAGACAUAUUUUAAUUCUAGAUACAUUCAUUUUUAUCCAUUUCUCCGACAAGUAUUUCUGGACGGAGGGAGUACUAG